GUUCUCACUUUGGCAGCACAUAUAUUGGGCUUGGAACAAUAUAGUGAAAGUUAACAUGGCUCUUGUGCAAGGAUGACACAUGAAUUUGUGAAUCAUUCUGUAUUUCA
ensembl:snRNA U6 U6 spliceosomal RNA